rnacentral:rRNA from 1 species
GGCAUGGCGCAUGCUUACACAUGCAGUCGAACGGUGAACACGGAKCUUGCUCUGUGGGAUCWGUGGCNAACGGGUGAGUAACACGUGAGCAACCUGCCCUGAACUCUGGGAUAASCGCUGGAAACGGCGUCUAAUACUGGAUAUGAGCUCCUUCCGCAUGGUGRGGGUUGGAAAGAUUUUUCGGUUCGGGAUGGGCUCGCGGCCUAUCANCUUGUUGGUGAGGUAAUGGCUCACCAAGGCGUCGACGGGUAGCCGGCCUGAGAGGGUGACCGGCCACACUGGGACUGAGACACGGACCAGACUCCUACGGGAGGCAGCAGUGGGGAAUAUUGCACAAUGGGCGGAAGCCUGAUGCAGCAACGCCGCGUGAGGGACGACGGCCUUCGGGUUGUAAACCUCUUUUAGCAGGGAAGAAGCGUAAGUGACGGUACCUGCAGAAAAAGCGCCGGCUAACUACGUGCCAGCAGCCGCGGUAAUACGUAGGGCGCAAGCGUUAUCCGGAAUUAUUGGGCGUAAAGAGCUCGUAGGCGGUUUGUCGCGUCUGCUGUGAAAUCCCGAGGCUCAACCUCGGGCCUGCAGUGGGUACGGGCAGACUAGAGUGCGGUAGGGGAGAUUGGAAUUCCUGGUGUAGCGGUGGAAUGCGCAGAUAUCAGGAGGAACACCGAUGGCGAAGGCAGAUCUCUGGGCCGUAACUGACGCUGAUGAGCGAGAGGGUGGGGAGCAAACAGGCUUAGAUACCCUGGUAGUCCACCCCGUAGACGUUGGGAACUAGUUGUGGGGUCCUUUCCACGGAUUCCGUGACGCACCUGACGCAUUAAGUUCCCCGCCUGGGGAGUACGGCCGCAAGGCUAAAACUCAGAGGAAUUGACGGGGACCCGCACAGGCGGCGGAGCAUGCGGAUUAAUUCGAUGCAACGCGAAGAACCUUACCAAGGCUUGACUUACACGAUAACGCUGCUGAAAUGUAGAACUCUUUGGAACUCGUGACAAGUGGUGCAUGGUUGUCGUCAGCUCGGUCGUGAGAUGUUGGGUAAGUCCCGCACGAGCGCACCCUCGUUCUUGUUGCCAGCCGUAUGGUGGGAAUCAGGGAUACUGCCGGGUCACUCGAAGAAGGGGGGAUGA